UGUAAGCGUAUACCAAAGUUGUUGCAGUUAAAACGCUCGUAGUCGGAAUUUGGCAAUUCCGGAUGUGUGCACGUCGUGUGCGCACUUCGCGGGGAUUGCUUUUGUGGUCUUGCGUAGGAUGAGGCACUUUUAUUAGUGAACGUCCUCACGCAACCACUUUUUACUGUGAGAAAAUCAGAGUGCUCAAAGCAGGCAUUUGCCGUGAAUGUAUUAGCAUGGAAUAAUAGAAUAGGACUUGGUUCUAUUUUGUUGGUUUGUUGGGACUGAGUAAUGAUUAAGAGGGACAGUUGGGGGCAUUUGUAUUUCGGUGCUAGAGGUGAAAUUCUUAGAUUACCGAAAGACAAACUGCUGCGAAAGCGUCUGCCAAGGAUGUUUUCAUUGA
rnacentral:rRNA from 1 species